GACGAACGCUGGCGGCGUGCUUAACACAUGCAAGUCGAACGGUAAGGCUCCAGCUUGCUGGGGUACACGAGUGGCGAACGGGUGAGUAACACGUGGGUGACCUGCCCUGCACUUCGGGAUAAGCCUGGGAAACUGGGUCUAAUACCGGAUAGGACCAUGGUGUGGAUACUGUGGUGGAAAGUUUUUUCGGUGUGGGAUGGGCCCGCGGCCUAUCAGCUUGUUGGUGGGGUAAUGGCCUACCAAGGCGGCGACGGGUAGCCGGCCUGAGAGGGUGGACGGCCACAUUGGGACUGAGACACGGCCCAGACUCCUACGGGAGGCAGCAGUGGGGAAUAUUGCACAAUGGGCGGAAGCCUGAUGCAGCGACGCCGCGUGGGGGAUGACGGCCUUCGGGUUGUAAGCUCCUUUCACCAUCGACGAAGGGUUUCUGACGGUAGAUGGAGAAGAAGCACCGGCUAACUACGUG
rnacentral:rRNA from 1 species